CUUCUGCUAUGAUGUUCUUUCUCACCUCACAGCAACGAAACAUGGACUGAAACCUCUGAAACACUCCCCAGACAGGCUCCAGGGCAGAGCUCAUUAAGUGGUGUGGACCCCGGUGUGGGAUGAUGAAAGGAUGCAACCAACAAGCUGUCCUGCCUGGAAAUGAAUGGGUGACGCAGCCCCUGAGCACCAGACAGGGCUGGGACAGACCUGCCACGGAGAGAACUGCAUGUCCGGAACCUGGCCAGCCUCGGCCCACUGACUCCCUGAUGGUGACCAUUUGAAGGAUGGAGCCAGCCGAUAGGGGUCAGAUGUCUGAUUCCAGAGGAAGCCAGAAACCUCAAAUUUUACAAAAUAGUCCCUGAAAUUUACGUGUUGGCAACUAAUUUGUUUUAUGUUUUAGAUGCUUUGCAUA